GUGCUCACUUCAGCAGUUCAUACAUUAAAAAUUGGAAUGAUACAAAGAUUAGCAUGGGCCCUGCAAAAGGAUGACACAAAAACUUGUGAAGUGUUCCAUAUAUUU